ACGUAUGCUGUGUUCGAACUGCGUGCUAAAUACUAGUCACAUACUGAUAAUGACGUGAAGUAGCAAAUAGUAUGCAGUGUUUGGAAAAUGUAAUAUUACCAGUACACAAAAGUUUCCCGGAUGUUAUACUGAUGGGAUACUGCAUCCCAUAAUGCAUAGCGAUUGUUUCCAGCUUCAGAAAAUUUCAGUUACAAUGGCGGACAGCGAAGGGACAAGUAUGGCAAAAACCGGAGAUGAAGAGCACAAAUGACUGGCACAACGUCAUGCACAGUGGUCUUGGGAACAUCGAAGGCUUCUGCAACAACCCUGUAGGAGGUGGCACUGGAUAACCAAUACUGAAUGAUGACAACCUCCAGUCUCUCCCCCAGCCUCCAUCACAGUCCACUUCAAGUGUGUCCACAAGGGCAUUGACAGAAGUCGUUCUUGCAGAUCCACAUCUCCAAAGAGGAGACGGACAAUAGAUAGAAUAGUGUUGCCAUUCAGUUAGCAAUAUUGUCCCCUGGGGUCAUUCUGAGAGAAUGUGCACUUGUUGUUUUUCUUGAUGUUAAAGUUCAGACAUUUUAAUCAAUUGAAAGUAUUUUGUUCAAUGUUUAGUGUCAUUUGUAAGGUAACUGUCAUACAGUGGUCAUUAUGGGAUUAUCAAUUGUCAGUGUAGCACAGUUACAUUUACUUAAUUUCACAUUUCACUUAGUUGCAAACCCAAGUCUUGCCAAUAAUGACACCUUUUUGAUCCAUUAACCAUGGUUGCAUACGCCUUCAUAAGAAAAGACAACUGUGGGCUACAAUAUUGUUAGUUUCUCUAGGCAUAUUGGUCUAAUCACUCUGAAUUCCUGCUGAAGAACGAGAUUAAAGACCAUCAGUAUUGCA